AAGUCGUAACAAGGUUUCCGUAGGUGAACCUGCGGAAGGAUCAUUAACACGUGUUUACACACGUAUUAUCUAUCAACCAAUCGCGAACUGUUAUUAACUUUAUUUUUACCAUUUUUUAUCUGGUCUAAUUCUUUUUGGUAUUCGUUGAUCUCCUGAACUUAACUGUUUGGUCGAGGACGACUUGAGUAUCAAAACAAAAAAUAAAUACGAAACAACUCUUAGCAACGGAUAUCUUGGUUCUC
rnacentral:misc_RNA from 1 species